rnacentral:rRNA from 1 species
AAUCAACGCUGGCGGCGUGCCUCAGACAUGCAAGUCGAACGCGAAAGUUCCCUUCGGGGAGCGAGUAGAGUGGCGCACGGGUGAGUAACACGUAGGUAAUUUACCUUCGGGUGGGGAAUAACAGCCGGAAACGGCUGCUAAUACCGCAUAAUGCAGCGGCUCGACAUCGAGACAGUUGUUAAAGCGGGGGAUCGCAAGACCUCGCGCCUGAAGAGAAGCCUGCGGCAGAUUAGCUAGUUGGUGGGGUAAUGGCUCACCAAGGCGACGAUCUGUAGCCGGCCUGAGAGGGCGGUCGGCCACACUGACACUGACAUACGGGUCAGACUCCUACGGGAGGCAGCAGUCGGGAAUUUUGGGCAAUGGGCGAAAAGCCUGACCCAGCAACGCCGCGUGUGUGAAG